rnacentral:rRNA from 1 species
UGACUGCAAGACUUGAGUGUGGCAGAGGGGGGUGGAAUUCCACGUGUAGCAGUGAAAUGCGUAGAGAUGUGCAGGAACACCGAUGGCGAAGGCAGCCCCCUGGGUUAACACUGACGCUCAUGCACGAAAGCGUGGGUAGCAAACAGGAUUAGAUACCCUGGUAGUCCACGCCCUAAACGAUGCCAACUAGGGUGUUUGGAGAAGGAGACUUCUUUAGUACCGUAGCUAACGCGUGAAGUUGGCCGCCUGGGGAGUACGGUCGCAAGAUUAAAACUCAAAGGAAUUGACGGGGACCCGCACAAGCGGUGGAUGAUGUGGAUUAAUUCGAUGCAACGCGAAAAACCUUACCUACCCUUGACAUGCCAGGAAUCCCGGAGAGAUUUGGGAGUGCUCGAAAGAGAACCUGGACACAGGUGCUGCAUGGCUGUCGUCAGCUCGUGUCGUGAGAUGUUGGGUUAAGUCCCGCAACGAGCGCAACCAUUGUCAUUAGUUGCCAUCAUUUAGUUGGGCACUCUAAUGAGACUGCCGGUGACAAACCGGAGGAAGGUGGGGAUGACGUCAAGUCCUCAUGGCCCUUAUGGGUAGGGCUUCACACGUCAUACAAUGGUCGGUACAAAGGGUUGCCAAGCCGCGAGGUGGAGCCAAUCCCAGA